CGAUAUGCGCAGGUCUAUACAUGCAAGUCGAGGGGGAUUUUGGAGCUUGCUCCUUAUGAGACCGGCGUACGGGUGCGUAACGCGUAUGCAACCUACCUCUGUCAGGGGGAUAGCCCGAAGAAAUUCGGAUUAACACCGCAUAACACCAUCGGGCAGCAUUGCUUGGUGGUCAAAUAUUCAUAGGACAGAGAUGGGCAUGCGUGCCAUUAGCUAGUUGGCGGGGUAACGGCCCACCAAGGCGACGAUGGCUAGGGGAUCUGAGAGGAUGGCCCCCCACACUGGUACUGAGACACGGACCAGACUCCUACGGGAGGCAGCAGUAAGGAAUAUUGGUCAAUGGAGGCAACUCUGAACCAGCCAUGCCGCGUGCAGGAAGACAGCCCUACGGGUCGUAAACUGCUUUUGUACGGGAACAAACCUCUCUUCGUGAAGAGAGCUGAGCGUACCGUAAGAAUAAGGAUCGGCUAACUCCGUGCCAGCAGCCGCGGUAAUACGGAGGAUCCAAGCGUUAUCCGGAUUUAUUGGGUUUAAAGGGAGCGUAGGCGGCCUAUUAAGUCAGGGGUGAAAGACGGUGGCUCAACCAUCGCAGUGCCUUUGAUACUGAUAGGCUUGAAUGUAGUUGAGGUGGGCGGAAUGUGACAAGUAGCGGUGAAAUGCAUAGAUAUGUCACAGAACACCGAUUGCGAAGGCAGCUCACUAAGCUAUGAUUGACGCUGAGGCUCGAAAGCGUGGGGAUCAAACAGGAUUAGAUACCCUGGUAGUCCACGCCCUAAACGAUGAUAACUCGAUGUUGGCGAUAUACAGCCAGCGUCCAAGCGAAAGCGUUAAGUUAUCCACCUGGGAGUACGCCCGCAAGGGUGAAACUCAAAGGAAUUGACGGGGGCCCGCACGAGCGGAGGAGCAUGUGGUUUAAUUCGAUGAUACGCGAGGAACCUUACCCGGGCUUGAAAGUUACUGAAGGGACGUAGAAGAUAGGUCCGUUCCCUCGGACAGGAACUAGUGCUGCAUGCUGUCGUCAGCUCGUGCCGUGAGGUGUUGGGUAAGUCCCGCCAACGAGCGCCAGCCGCUUAUGUUUACGUGCGGGCACAGAAUGGUGCGACUCUGAACCGAACUGCUACCUUACUACAAAGAAGUUGGACGACGUUCAGGUCUCAUGGCGUAGGUCGGGGUUACACCUGCUCAUGAACGUCAUGCAGUACUGGCACGAUCGAUUCGCAAGCGUUCAGGGAUCGAAUCGGGU
rnacentral:rRNA from 1 species